CAGCAUCUCCUGCGCCGCCCACUUACCCUGCCACGUGGAGGCCAGGCGAGGGCCUUGGGGCAGCAU
rnacentral:pre_miRNA from 17 species